rnacentral:lncRNA from 1 species
GAUGCCGGACAGUGGCAUCUGACUGAAUAUAUUUCAUCUUAUCGAUUUCUCUCUCCUCUGAUAUUCUCUUUCUACGUGAUUCAUGAACCUAGUGAAUUUGACUUAUUGCUUUGAAUCUGCACUGAUUUUGGUAAGGAGUUCUCAAUUACUCUAUCAGUCAGGCGACUUACCCCCACAAUAUUUGAGCUUUUAUCAAGUAGUGCAAGAUCUGAUCCUCAUUGAUCUCUAUUAAAAAAUUAUUAUAUUUUAAGUAAUUAUGAUUUGAUGAAGCUACUU